GUGGAUUAGUGGCGAACGGGUGAGUAACACGUGGGCAAUCUGCCCUGCACUCUGGGACAAGCCCUGGAAACGGGGUCUAAUACCGGAUGAUACCUACUGGGGCAUCUUAGUGGGUUGAAAGCUCCGGCGGUGCAGGAUGAGCCCGCGGCCUAUCAGCUUGUUGGUGGGGUGAUGGCCUACCAAGGCGACGACGGGUAGCCGGCCUGAGAGGGCGACCGGCCACACUGGGACUGAGACACGGCCCAGACUCAUACGGGAGGCAGCAGUGGGGAAUAUUGCACAAUGGGCGGAAGCCUGAUGCAGCGACGCCGCGUGAGGGAUGACGGCCUUCGGGUUGUAAACCUCUUUCAGCAGGGAAGAAGCGUGAGUGACGGUACCUGCAGAAGAAGCACCGGCUAACUACGUGCCAGCAGCCGCGGUAAUACGUAGGGUGCGAGCGUUGUCCGGAAUUAUUGGGCGUAAAGAGCUCGUAGGCGGCUUGUCGCGUCGGAUGUGAAAGCCCGGGGCUUAACUCCGGGUCUGCAUUCGAUACGGGCAGGCUAGAGUGUGGUAGGGGAGAUCGGAAUUCCUGGUGUAGCGGUGAAAUGCGCAGAUAUCAGGAGGAACACCGGUGGCGAAGGCGGAUCUCUGGGCCAUUACUGACGCUGAGGAGCGAAAGCGUGGGGAGCG
rnacentral:rRNA from 2 species